GACAAACAUGAACGUUCACGGUACAGGUCCCAUACAUUCUUCAGAAUGGUGAUUGAGAGCAGGGGAAACGAAAACACUUCUAGAGAUGCUUUUUAGUCUUGAAUUUGGUUGACUUUGCUGGAUCUUUGCGAAUUGCUAAAACUGGCGCUGGUGGAGUUCGCUUGAUGUAAGGAAAUACAUAAAUAAGAGCUUAAUGAUUCUUGGCAAUGUCAUAAUAAGUUCAAAGCUAAGCGCACAUAUUCUGAAUCGAGAUAGUAAGCUCAUUGGAAUUCUUCAGCCUGCGCUUGGUGGUAAUGCGAAGACUUGCAUUAUAUGCACUAUAGCAACAUCAAAGCUUCUCUUGGUGCAACUGAAAUCACAACGAGCCUUCUUUCAACUCUAGAUUCACAGUUC